GAGUUUGAUCUUGGCUCAGGAUGAACGCUGGCGGCGUGCCUAAUACAUGCAAGUCGAGCGAACAGACGAGGAGCUUGCUCCUCUGACGUUAGCGGCGGACGGGUGAGUAACACGUGGAUAACCUACCUAUAAGACUGGGAUAACUUCGGGAAACCGGAGCUAAUACCGGAUAAUAUAUUGAACCGCAUGGUUCAAUAGUGAAAGACGGUUUUGCUGUCACUUAUAGAUGGAUCCGCGCCGCAUUAGCUAGUUGGUAAGGUAACGGCUUACCAAGGCAACGAUGCGUAGCCGACCUGAGAGGGUGAUCGGCCACACUGGAACUGAGACACGGUCCAGACUCCUACGGGAGGCAGCAGUAGGGAAUCUUCCGCAAUGGGCGAAAGCCUGACGGAGCAACGCCGCGUGAGUGAUGAAGGUCUUCGGAUCGUAAAAACUCUGUUAUUAGGGAAGAACAAAUGUGUAAGUAACUAUGCACGUCUUGACGGUACCUAAUCAGAAAGCCACGGCUAACUACGUGCCAG
rnacentral:rRNA from 1 species